rnacentral:misc_RNA from 1 species
UUUUCGUCGACCUACGUUGUAUUAUACCGCAUAACUUUCUACUGAAUGUACCGAUUUUGAUAAUUCUUUUUUUGUUGGAAAGGAGAUAUCCCAAGUUUAGUACCAUGAUAAGGAAAUCAGGAUCUGAUGAUGGGAUCCUAGAUAAAUCGAGGGAAACUCUUGAAAAUCCGCAAUAACUUUUUACUAGGUGUACAGAUUUUAAUGAUUUUUAAUUUAAUCGAAAGC